rnacentral:rRNA from 1 species
AUUGAACGCUGGCGGCAGGCCUAACACAUGCAAGUCGAGCGGAUGAAGGGAGCUUGCUCCUGGAUUCAGCGGCGGACGGGUGAGUAAUGCCUAGGAAUCUGCCUGGUAGUGGGGGAUAACGUCCGGAAACGGGCGCUAAUACCGCAUACGUCCUGAGGGAGAAAGUGGGGGAUCUUCGGACCUCACGCUAUCAGAUGAGCCUAGGUCGGAUUAGCUAGUUGGUGGGGUAAAGGCCUACCAAGGCGACGAUCCGUAACUGGUCUGAGAGGAUGAUCAGUCACACUGGAACUGAGACAGGGUCCAGACUCCUACGGGAGGCAGUAGUGGGGAAUAUUGGACAAUGGGCGAAAGCCUGAUCCAGCCAUGCCGCGUGUGUGAAGAAGGUCUUCGGAUUGUAAAGCACUUUAAGUUGGGAGGAAGGGCAGUAAGUUAAUACCUUGCUGUUUUGACGUUACCAACAGAAUAAGCACCGGCUAACUUCGUG